rnacentral:rRNA from 1 species
CCUGGCUCAGAUUGAACGCUGGCGGCAGGCCUAACACAUGCAAGUCGAGCGGAUGAGAAGAGCUUGCUCUUCGAUUCAGCGGCGGACGGGUGAGUAAUACCUAGGAAUCUGCCUGGUAGUGGGGGACAACGUUUCGAAAGGAACCGUAAUACCGCAUACGUCCUACGGGAGAAAGCAGGGGACCUUCGGGCCUUGCGCUAUCAGAUGAGCCUAGGUCGGAUUAGCUAGUUGGUGAGGUAAUGGCUCACCAAGGCGACGAUCCGUAACUGGUCUGAGAGGAUGAUCAGUCACACUGGAACUGAGACACGGUCCAGACUCCUACGGGAGGCAGCAGUGGGGAAUAUUGGACAAUUGGCNNNNGCCUGAUCCAGCCAUGCCGCGUGUGUGAAGAAGGUCUUCGGAUUGUAAAGCACUUUAAGUUGGGAGGAAGGGCAUUAACCUAAUACGUUAGUGUUUUGACGUUACCGACAGAAUAA